rnacentral:rRNA from 1 species
UCGCCCGCCGCGCGCGGCGGGCCUACGGGAGGCAGCAGUGAGGAAUAUUGGUCAAUGGGCGGAAGCCUGAACCAGCCAAGUAGCGUGCAGGAUGACGGCCCUAUGGGUUGUAAACUGCUUUUAUACAGGAAUAAAGUUAGCCACGUGUGGUUAUUUGUAGGUACUGUAUGAAUAAGGACCGGCUAAUUCCGUGCCAGCAGCCGCGGUAAUA